CCAAUAGCGUAUAUUAAAGUUGCUGCAGUUAAAAAGCUCGUAGUUGAAUUUCGGGACCAAUAUGUCGGUCGUGCUUCGGUACGUACUGUCAUAAUUGGUUUCUCCCUUCUGAAGAACCGUGAUGUCAUUAAUUUGGUGUCGUGGGGAAUCAGGACUGUUACUUUGAAAAAAUUAGAGUGUUUAAAGCAGGCGCACGCUUGAAUACAUUAGCAUGGAAUAAUGAAAUAGGACGUUUGAUUCUAUUUUGUUGGUUUCUAGGAUCGACGUAAUGAUUAAUAGGGAUAGUUGGGGGUAUUAGUAUUCAAUUGUCAGAGGUGAAAUUCUUGGAUUUAUUGAAGACUAACUACUGCGAAAGCAUUUGCCAAGGAUGUUUUCAUUAAUCAAGAACGAAAGUUAGGGGAUCGAAGACGAUCAGAUACCGUCGUAGUCUUAACCAUAAACUAUGCCGACUAGGGAUCGGAUGAUGUUAAUUUUAUAAUGACUCAUUCGGCGCCUUACG
rnacentral:rRNA from 1 species